UACGGCCAUAUAUCGUUGAAACACCGGUUCCCGUACAAUCACUGGUUAAGCAACAUCGAGCCUUGUCAGUACCUAGAUGGGUAACCGUUUGGGAAUACCAGGUGCUGCAAG